rnacentral:tRNA from 1 species
GCCGGAGUGGUGAAACUGGCAGACGCGCGGGACUCAAAAUCCCGUGACCUUUACAGGUCGUGUGGGUUCGACCCCCACCUCCGGCACCA